CAUCAGAAGAAGGAGGGGCAUCUAUUAUGUCAACAGUUACUUUGGGACCGGGCGAAAAUGACGUUUUUACAGAUUGAAUUUCGAACUUCUAGAUCAGCGCCAAGUCAACCACCAUAAAGCUGAGAUUCUUUAGGCUGGACCAGAUGCAGACGAGGGGCAUGCCUUUGCCGAGCUAGUGCCGCAGUCUGUGAUGACUCCAUCUGUGGUGUCUGGCUCCUCCGUGGGCAGCAGAUGGCUUGAAGGUGGGUUCCUCUUCCACCGCGAGUUGGCUUCCCUCUAUUCCAACCUACAGCCCAGGAACCGCAUCUCUCUUCCAGUUACGUCAAUUAGUUCCAGUUACACAGUUUCCAAUCCACAACCUUAGACAUGGUGGCUACAUUUGGCCCUAGUUGAUUUGGGUUGUAGCCACAAUGGUUUCUUUCAUUAUUUGAUGAACUUAGUUGUGUAUUCUGCUUUGUGACUAUCCAAUGCCUGUUAUCUCAUAACUGGAGGAUCAGUGGCUGGAGGAUCUGCAAGCAAGCGAUGGCAGACGGAAACACCAUCAAAGCGAGGGAUGGCAUGGCACUGCAGAGGACCCGACACCAAAGCCCUGGUCUAUUGACCAAUCCUAUCUAACACGAUGACCAGCUCAAUCCAUUAUUGAGAUGAGUAGCUCAGCUAAUAAAAGUCAAAACACUAUUAACAAUUAAUCCAGUUCAUAGCAGUGAAAAUGUUUACAUUAUUUGUCAUAAACAGAUUGUUUUUGAUCAGUUCUGGCACGUACAAUAUUAGUCAUGAUUAUGGAAGUGCCAAAAGGUUAGUGCCAUCAGGACUAUGUAUGACCCUUGGAUUUGCUGCCAGGUUUAUAAUACACUGAUGUGGGAAAUAAAGUACUGUUUUGA